AACAGCCAGAGAGCCAGUACCAGGCUGAGGCUUGAGAAAUGCAGACAACGUGCUGUAGUACAACAAUUUUCUGUUCUCAACAAAAUGAAGCAGCUCAGUUUGCUUUAAGUGCAACAGGCAGAACUGCCCCUUUGCUACUUGUUCCAUGAAGAAAAUCUAAAGCAAGUGUCUUGAUUAUAAGUGGAAAAUGACAGGGAAAGUAUCCAUCUUAAAGCUGCAUGUAGAACUCUGUGUAGUCUAGCACUUGGAAGUGGAGAAUUUGACUUUCUACAACUAAGGAAUCAAGACCUUAACAGCCAUGACUGCAGAAAGCAGAGGUCCAACACUUCCUUUCAGAGAUGGAUGGGAGACUAGCAUGCAGCACUAAGGACUUCAAAGCACCCAGGAAUUGCAUGGUGGCAUGGUAAGAUGUCCUGGUUUGUAGUCUGUACUUCUGAUGAUCCUUUUGCUCAGUGAUUAGCACUAGGCUGAUUUCAGAAAGCUACCCACAGCUCCAAGAUGUCAGUGAAACCAGCUACCAAGACAUCAUUGCCUGCACCUACUGUGAAUUA